UUCAAUAUGGUGGCCGUUGUUGCACGGUUUACGUCGGAUAUCCGGAUUUUGAAGUAGAAAUAGUAUCAGUGGAUCAUUUAAUCUACUGUAAUUAUGGAAAUUCGAUUGAAAAUUUUGUACCGUAUCGAAAAACUUUGAUGGUACAUCAGUACGUUUGGUAAAAAGUUGAAUACAAUACAAUCGAGGCACUCUGUACAUACUAGCUUAGGAAGUGGUGUUCGGGCAUUGAAAAUCUAAGAAAAAUCUGAAAAAUGGAAAACGUUAAGAUGGAAAAUGUGACAGAUACAGCUCAAUCGGAAGUGGAGUCAAGUAAUACCGUAGAUGGAACGGAAAGUUCCGUCACAGAUAUCACUAAUUUAGACAUUAAAUCUCGACUUAGUCUGACAACGAGUGAUGUCUACGAAGAACCACGUACAAAUGGAAUACCUCGGCAAGGUCAUUUAAAUCAGCACGAUGAAGCAAAAACAUUGUCUCAGGAAAAUAGCGACGACAACAUUCAGUACAUUAGCUACACAAGUGAAUUACAAAUGCCUGACAUUAUGCACUUAAUACAAAAGGAUCUGAGCGAACCUUACUCCAUUUACACGUACAGAUAUUUCAUUCAUAAUUGGCCGAAAUUAUGUUUCCUGGCGAUGCACGAAGACAAAUGUAUUGGUGCCAUUGUUUGCAAGUUGGAUAUCCACAGAAAGGUGAUAAAACGUGGAUACAUUGCUAUGUUAGCUGUUGACGUGAAAUAUCGUAAGCGGAAAGUUGGAUCGAAUUUGGUAAGGAGAGCGAUACAAGCUAUGAUGGAAGAUAACGCUGACGAGGUAGUCUUGGAAACAGAGAUCACUAAUCGACCGGCGCUACGUUUAUACGAGAAUCUAGGCUUUGUGCGCGACAAACGAUUAUUUCGGUAUUAUUUGAACGGUGUGGAUGCACUUCGAUUAAAAUUGUGGCUCAGAUGAAAUUUGUCUGCAUAUUUAUGUCAAUAAACAUUUCAAUCAUUAGAACGUUCAACAAACAGAGAGAGAAUGGGAAAAAGAGAAACAGGGAAUCUUCUGUAUUCCGAAAUAUCGAGGAAUGCGCAAUGUUAAUGCCAGAGAAAAAAAUAAAUAGAUAGAGAAAGAGGGGGGAGGAGAGAGAGAGAGAGAAAGAAAGAAAGAGAGAUUAUCGGUUGUCUACGCACAAGGCAUUUCUAUUCGACAGUACCGUCUACAUCGAAUAAUGUUUUCUGCUGUGCCACCAUCUCGAAGCUAAGAGAUGACAGCGUAGAAAAUCGACACUCUGAAGAGUGGUUGUUGAACGAGUACUUUGGACACGUCGUGGCAACAAAUGCACAAUCAAUUGCGUGUAUACGUAUUACGCGUGAACAGUAAUGCCAUUGGAUAUUGGUUGUUUCGGACAUUACACAAGUCUGUCGUACGGUAAUAACGGAUACACGUACGAGUACACGAGAAACGGAGGGGCGGCGCACGAAUGCGUAUAAAUGUAUGCAGAUGAACGGAACAUGAUGAUGAAUUGUUAUCGUUUGCCAAAUUUCAAAUAUUUCAAGGGGACUACAUCGCGUGCGAUUGACACACGAUCGUAUUCAUUGCUGUUUACUUAUUGUAUUUACCUUUGUAUAAAAACAAACACGAGCCUCGAAUCGCGAUGUAACUAUUAAAAUGUGUAAAAAUGUUAAUAAAAAGUACGGAA
rnacentral:misc_RNA from 1 species